rnacentral:lncRNA from 1 species
AUAGUAGGAUGAAGCUUGAAAGUUUGAAGUCAGAAACGAAGUUUACCGACAACCGCAUCAUAGUGAAAUGUACUGGUAGCUACACCAUUCAGAGUGUGGCAAUGAAUGUUCAUGAUGCUCGUAAAUCCAAGUCAGUGAAAGUUCUAAACCUUUAUUACAAUAACAGGCCUGUGGCUGACUUGUCAGAGUUGAAAAACAAUUGGUCCCUUUGGGAACCUUUAUUACAAUAACAGACCUGUGGCUGACUUGUCAGAGUUGAAAAACAAUUGGUCCCUCUGGAAGCGUGCAAAAAGCUGUCAUCUUGCUUUUAAUCAAACUGAGCUGAAAGUUGAUUUUGCCAUCCCAAUUACAGCGGGUAAUUUUAUGAUUGAAUUGGAUUCAUUUUAUGAAAAUCUUCAAGCUUUGUCCCUCGAGCCGUUGCAGUGUCCCCGUUGCAGUCGGGCUGUGACUGAUAAGCACGGUAUUUGCAGUAAUUGUCAUGAGAAUGCUUAUCAAUGCAGACAGUGCAGGAACAUCAACUAUGAAAAUCUUGAUUCCUUUUUAUGCAAUGAGUGUGGGUACAGCAAAUAUGGUCGCUUUGAAUUUAAUUUUAUGGCAAAGCCAAGUUUCACUUUUGAUAGC